GUGUCAAUGCUCGCCGCUGAUCUGACUUCUAAUCAGACGAUUGUGGGUUUGAGUCCCACUGGGCGUG
rfam:Dichanthelium oligosanthes cultivar Kellogg 1175 unplaced genomic scaffold Do_version_2_scaffold10837, whole genome shotgun sequence.